UUUUACGCCGCUAGAUGAUUCAAACUUAUUUCAUCAUAAGCAAAUUAUGAAACAUAAGAGUGGCAACAGCGAUAAUAAAAUUAGUUAUUUUACUUGUCGAUCUUGUCAGCCAAUGAUAAUCCAGUAUUGUUUACCGUGUAACAGCAAGGCUUGGUUAAUUUCAGCACUCGUUCACUAGAGUGCGCCACUAGAGCUAGAGAAAAUUUCUAGUUUAAAGUAGUGAUUUGAAACGUGCGCGUCAUAUUGACGUAAAUAAUUAGAAAAUUGAAGUAAUUGUGUGAUAUUAAUUAUCCAGUAUUCCUUGAUAUACAUCUACAAGAAUAAUAUAACGUAGUUUAUAUCGAGUACGUGUUGUGUGUCAUAUAAAUGUGAUCACUAUCUGUUUUUACGUUUCUUAUAAGUACUUUCCAUUUGAAGAUUUCUUGACAAGAUGUCUAUCUAUACGAGCGUUACAUUGUCAAUAGUCUUCGAGGCAAAGACUGGUCGAAGUCUGGUACAGAACCGUCACGUAUCUACGAGUCACCAAUGGCGUACCGCAACAACAGCGCGCUUGAAAUAUUAAUCCACCCACGAAGCUGAAGCAGAGAGGAUCGGUACAGUGAGGAAGCUGGUCUCGGAGAUCGCUACGGGCGAAUGUUUAACGAGGGUCGUCGGAGCUCGCUGAAGCCAGAAGGCUCUGGACGCGCGAGAAUUGGAGAAGAAUCGGACACGUCCAACCACUGCAGAAAACGGACGACCGGAACCUCGAAAGCCGGGUAUCGCGUAAAUAAAUAAAGUAACCGGUGCCAAUGCGUGACCCCAUUAGACUCCGCUUUACGGGACGUGUUCGAUGCAGUUGUAACAUUCCCGGAGCGUCUCUGCUCCAGACCAACGCCAACGAAAUAAAACAUUCACCGUUGCCCGUCUCUGUGAAUCUUUUUCUUUGAAGGGACACAGGUUUCUUGAAUAAAAUUUGCAUAUGCGCCGCGUCUCAACGUCGCGAUCGCGU